GAUGAACGCUAGCGGGAGGCUUAACACAUGCAAGUCGAGGGGUAAAUGGUAGCAAUACUAUGAGACCGGCGGACGGGUGCGUAACGCGUAUGCAACAUACCUUUAGCAGGGGGAUAGCCCGUGGAAACGCGGAUUAAUAUUCCAUAGUCCAGCAGUAUCGCAUGGUACCACUGGUAAAGAUUUAAUCGGCUAAAGAUUGGCAUGCGUCUGAUUAGUUAGUUGGUAGGGUAACGGCCUACCAAGGCGACGAUCAGUAGGGGUUCUGAGAGGAUUACCCCCCACACUGGUACUGAGACACGGACCAGACUCCUACGGGAGGCAGCAGUGAGGAAUAUUGGUCAAUGGGCGGAAGCCUGAACCAGCCAUCCCGCGUGAAGGAAGACAGCCUUACGGGUUGUAAACUUCUUUUCUGUUUGAAGAAUAAGCCCGUUGAGACGGGUGAUGCCGGUAGGACAGGAAUAAGCAUCGGCUAACUCCGUG
rnacentral:rRNA from 1 species